CCAAUAGCGUAUAUUAAAGUUGUUGCAGUUAAAAAGCUCGUAGUUGAACUUCGGGGUCUACCCAUUGGUCAGGCUUAAUUGUCUGAACUGGUGAGAUGGAUCUCUACCUUCUGAGGAACUUUCAUGCCAUUUAUUUGGUGUGAUUGGAAAUCAGGACUGUUACUUUGAAAAAAUUAGAGUGUUUAAAGCAGACUAUCGUCUGAAUACAUUAGCAUGGAAUAAUGAAAUAGGACGGACUGAUUCUAUUUCGUUGGUUUCUAGGAUCACCGUAAUGAUUAAUAGGGAUAGUUGGGGGCAUUAGUAUUCAAUUGUCAGAGGUGAAAUUCUUGGAUUUAUUGAAGACUAACUACUGCGAAAGCAUUUGCCAAGGAUGUUUUCAUUAAUCAAGAACGAAAGUUAGGGGAUCGAAGACGAUCAGAUACCGUCGUAGUCUUAACCAUAAACUAUGCCGACUAGGAAUCAGACGAUGUUAAUUUUUUAAUGACUCGUUUGGCACCUUACG
rnacentral:rRNA from 1 species